rnacentral:lncRNA from 1 species
CUCUUUUGUGGUAUUUCUAGAUCCUUACCAAGGCAGUGAUGGUAUAUGCCUUCUCUCAAAAAGUAUGUGGUAUUUGUGGUAUAAGGCAUAGUGACAUUGCCUUCUCUCUCACCCUACUCUAAUAAGGCUUUAAUAUCUGGAGCUCAUAGGUGGGAGAUAAAGUAUAGAUACUCACAAGACAUGUAUUGUAUAGUCAAACCAUGGAUCCAAAGAAACAAAUCGAUAAGUCAAAUCAAGAUGUGCAUGUGUGGCGAAUGGUGUAUGGUGAUGAUGGUAAUAACAAUGGUGGAAGUCUAAUUCUAUUUUAGCUCUUUUGAGGGGAAACAUACCUUUUUUGCUCUUUUGAAACUUUUGAGGAUAAUGAGAUGCUCUUCUUUUUCUUUUUCUUUCUCUCAGGUGGGUAUCUUGU